rnacentral:rRNA from 1 species
UACGUAGGGGGCAAGCGUUGUCCGGAAUCAUUGGGCGUAAAGAGCGUGUAGGCGGCUCGGUAAGUCCGCUGUAAAAGUCCAGGGCUCAACCCUGGAAAGCCGGUGGAAACUGUCGAGCUAGAGUCCGGAAGAGGCGAGUGGAAUUCCUGGUGUAGCGGUGAAAUGCGCAGAUAUCAGGAGGAACACCGGUGGCGAAGGCGGGUCUCUGGGCCGAUACUGACGCUGAGGCACGAAAGCGUGGGUAGCAAACAGG